rnacentral:lncRNA from 1 species
UCGUGUAUCGUGUUACCCACGUGUAUACCCGAACCAAUCCGUUAUCUUAACAGAUGCUUAUUGGGUUACCCGAUAACGACCUGAUUCGUUAUCGUAUUGAUCCGAACACCUGUUAAGUUCGUGUCGUGUCGUGUCGGGUUAUCGGGUCAUGUCAGGAAUUGCCAAGUCUACAUUCAAUGGACAAUUUCAGUGGCAUCUCUUGGUAAAAAGUUAGAAAUUAAGAGGAGAGAAAGAAAAAGAAGAAAAGAAAAAAAGAAAAAAGUAUAAUGUUCACUUGUGAUUGGUAUGAGUUAUGGCCAUAUUGUGCUAUGUGCAUGAUAGAUUCUUUCACGGAGUCUCAUAUAGCGCUUAGAGCUUUUCAAUGGCAUCCGCGAAUUAACUCAUAACUAGAAUUUAGGGAGGGUUUGUACUAAAAAUAAAAAAAUAAAAAAGAAUUUAGGGGGGGGGGUGUUUGGAAAAAUCCAUCUUCAAUCACACUCACUGUCAUGCUCGUAGGUUAGUAAAACACCUAAUAAGAGCUCCUAAUUUUUUAGAGUGAGAAAGAAGCUCACUCAAUUACCAGUGUCCAAAGUUAGCAUUAAUUACUAAUAUUAUAAUAUCUAGAACAAAAAAAAAAUCUAGAAUUAUGUAACGACCCGUUCCAGAUUUUACAAUUUUUAUAAUUUUAAAGUGUGAAAUUACGAAAAUACCCUUUGAGGUCAAACGUUGACUUUUGUUGACCACCUUGUCGUGUCAUGUAAGAUCCGUUUUCAUGGCGUAUCCUGGUAGCACUUGUCGCUACAAACGUGUGGGAGCAAGUUCUCU